AUCGUCACCGUCGAUGAGUGCGUAAUCUUC
rnacentral:antisense_RNA from 1 species